AUGCAUACACACCUGGAGCGACGAAGCUGGCCGUCCAAUCGAGUGUGUUCGCUUUGCCUGUCUGCGCCAGAGGACUGCACUCACCUUUUUGUCCACUGCCCAUAUACCCAACAGGUUUGGUUGCUCUUUAAAACAUGGACGAAUGCAGAUUUCAUUACCCCCAGUGUUUCUUUCACUUCCACGGAAGACUGGUGGCUUCGGGCUAGGGCGGCUAUUCCGAAGGCAGUCAGGAGGAAUUUUGACACGGUAAUCAUCAUGCUGCACUGGAGGGUGUGGAAAGAGCGAAACGCCAGGAUAUUUGAUCAUGCUUCCAACCCACCUGACUGGGUUCUGGACCGGAUCAAGGAAGACGUAGCCAUGUGGAGAGCCGCGGGAUGCAUUGCUGAUCUCCCGGCUUAG
rnacentral:rRNA from 1 species